GCCUCUGCCUCCCACAGUGCUGGGGUUGCAGGCAUGAGCCACCCCACCUGGCCAGCUAUUCUUUUUACAAAUACUCAUGCCCAACCGGAUAUCCAUUUGUUCUUGCUCUUAUGCCAGAAGAACUUACUAGAAUUGUAGCAGUCAGCAUCACGCCCUUUUACCUCCCGCAAGCACUGAGCAGCAGGUGCUGACUCAAUAACCAGCAACUGCUGGCUCUCUGCAGCAUUUCUAAACUGAGACAGUGACCCCUCAUCCUCUUUCCCCAACUUUUACAUUGUAAGCCCCCCAAAAUUACUAGCAUUACUCUUUCCAGGAACACUGGGAUGAAAAUGAAAAUCUCUCUGCUUAUAACCCACAAAGCAAGGGUUACAUCUUACAUCUGUGAUUAAUUAGACAUGUAACUGGCAAUUAGCCCUUUAGGCAGGUUUUCAACCCUGACUUUUAGCCAAAUGUGUAUGUAUAAAACAUACAUGCACCUAAAUACACCCACCUUCACAAUGCAUGUAUACAUAAAUAUUCAGAUAUCUUCCAGAGCAAUUUAGUCACCUGAUUUCCAAACACAUUUAAUUGAACCUACUGUAGCUUCGAAUGAAAUUUCUACUUAAUUGGUAACUGCAUGUGAAUUAUUAACUAGUACUCUUUGAGAACAGAACAUUAAAAAGAAAAGAGAAAAAAAAGCUCCUGGUAUAGCUGGAAGAAAAGAAGCAACUACAUUUUCCCUCCGACAACUGUACAAUAGAUUCCCUCCCUUUCCUCCAAUUUCACUGUCAGUCUUUAAGUGCUGUGGCAGGCUAGCCAGGAUGGCCAUGCAGGGAGAGGGCCACUUAGAUCUGUGCCCUAUUUGGAUGGAAAGAUGUUUUAAAAAGGUUCUGCAGAGCAAGCACUGCCCCAGCUUUCAUCAGAAGUGAGGAACACAACCCACUGACUUCCUUAAACAUCCUCUCACUCUACUAUGUCUUUUAAAAUAGAUGGCCACAUUAGUACUUAAUGCCGCAAAGCUUGUUCUCCAACAUCUAAGAGAUUAUGGUGAAAAACACACGACUCGUGUGAUCUGACACUGUCAUUUCUAAGGCGUCAUACCUACUUUCACAGCACAAUCCCCCGCCCUCCACUCCAACUUUUCUUUCAUCCUGAAGAACAUGCUUGGGUGCCAGGUGGAUGGGAAUACCAGUCUCUGCAGCAUCUAUCAGCCUGCCUCAUAGUACCAAGGGGAACACUGAUGUUUAAUUUUUGGCCUACUGGUUAUUUCCAAGCUAGAAAAGCAGGCUGGAGGAUGGAUCCCAGGGGUCUAGCUUACCUAUCCUGGGGCAAACCAAAUCCCAGUCUCAGGUCAUCCUCUGGGGGCACACAAAUUUUAACAACCCCAAGGCAGGUCAUCUGCAUGUAUCCGAAGUGGUUUUUAGGUAGGCACGGCUGCUCAGGGACAUCUGCCCCAGGAAUGCCAGCAUGACAACAAAGUUACCUUUGAGACCUUCAUCUCACAUUACUUUUGGUAAACUAUCAACCUUGAUCCUAGCUUGAAAAGGCCUUGAAGGCAAGACAUCUAAGAGAAGACAGGACAGUAUGUGUAAGAACAGCACUAUGGAGACAGAUGCUUACUACCUCUGGUCAGGUGCUAAAUGCUAGGUUAAUCUGGGAAACAUCACUACAUGUUUUAAAUACAUGUACCUUUUAAAUACAAAGGGUCACCAACCUGCAGAAAGCAUUCAACAGUCCAGUGGACCAGAAUAAAAAUCAAAGUAAGUAAACUGCAAAGGGGCAUCCAAGAGUUAGCUCUUAAUGGUAUUCUUGCUUCUCACGAAGUGACGUCAGAGGGCUAACCUCCAUAUUUAGAAUUGGAAGUUUAAUUAAGGAAUUUUUACGUAGCAGCCAAAAUGAUGCGAUGAGACCUCAAAGUAAGAGGAGCUUAUGUUUUGGGACAGUGAGGUAGAUGCUGAUGAAUCAGAAGGGACUGCAUACCAACACUAAAAUUCAGGGUGUUGUCCCUGAUGGAGGGAGGCCCUGGGAGUAGGACUGCUCCAGUGAGUCUUCCUUUCCUCCAAAGGCUCCACCACCCCUUUGCCUGCCCUUUAUUCUAUCCAGGGUUCCCCAUUACCACCAGCCAAGAGGACAGCCAAAGAACCAUCUACAAUACAACAAAAAGCCUUCUCAAAGACGGGCCUUUGAGGAAUUAAAAUCCAGAUGAAGCGGGGUACAUUGGCAUAGGCCUGUAGUCUCAGCUACUCAGGAGGCUGAGGAUCAUAUGCUCCCAGGAGUUUGAGGUCAGCCUGGGCAACAUAGCAAGACCUCUUUCUCAUAGGGAAAAAAAAAUGGUCUGCUUCGCUUACUUAUGCAGUUACUUGUUCCCUACCCCUUCACCUCUUCAGAUAAGUAGAUGGCUACCAAUGGCACUUUCUAAGGCAACAAUACGUAAUGCUCACUUCUCUCCUUACUCUUUGCCAGGUACUAUAGUAGAUGCUAUUAUGCAUUAUCUAACGUAACAGUUCUAAGGACAGUCCCUACUACUGUCCUCUUUUCCCAGUUAUAAUGCUAGGCACACAGUAGGCCCAGAAUUCAAAGCAGAUCUGACUCCACAGCCCUAAUUCAACUGACCCCACCUUUAAUUUCAGCUCUGCUCUGAAUGCAAUUCACUGUUAGCAGCACUGACACAGCAUCUCUCAUGUGUGAAAACAUUUAAUGUCUAGGCGAUUCCUCACAUUGUUCUUUGAGAAUUCCUAAGAACAAGAAGGCAUGUAAACUGCAAUUUGUAUUCAUGAAAAUGCUGAUGAUAUUAACCUCAGUGCCUCUGCAGUUCAGGCACCGAGCAGUCAAAGGCAGGUGUGGACUCUAAUCCAUUUCUAGGGUGUGGGGCCACUCACGACAGCUCUUGGUCUUGACCUACGGGGCAGCCUUAUAACUUCUAUGUGAAGCUUCAUACCAGAGAGUGGCGGCAGGCCUGUCCAAGCUAGAUGCCUUCAUGUAGGUCAGGGAGCACAUGUGUUUAUGAUGUGAAAUAAAGCCUGGACACCUGUGUACACAUUUAAGCAGUUAGCACACACACACGAUAGACUGUCUGGCUGUCCAGUCCUCCUGCCUUCUCUGGAGUAACCAGUCACCUUAACCAAUGCUCCAGGCAUCAUCACCCAUCCCCCAAAUGAGCCCAACUUGAGUUUAUGAUGCUAAAACUACCUAGGGGAGCCCAGUGCCCCUUAGAGGAAAGAUGUGCAGAAAAACAAUGACAAUGAAAAAUAAGUUUGUUGUUUAAUGAAGAGGCAGCUUGGGAGGACAGAGAAGACAGCAGAGAUACAGGUGGGUAAGCACUAACUGCACUAUCGCCACCACAGUUCAUUUCCAAAACACCCAGAUCCUCCUGCAAUGCCCUCUCAUCAGUCAAGCGGUGCCUUUUUGUAUGAGAAGCACCAAUAUAAAGAAUUAGGACCAAAGAAGCACAUUCAGGAAGAAGCCUGCAGCUGAACAAGGGCAGAGCCCAAGUUCAGUCUGAGGACUUCCAACAACAAUUUUCAACACCAGUGUGGUGAUAGGCACCUGGGAAGUUUGUUUCAAAUGCAGGUUGCCGAGUCACCCCCACCAGGAUGCUGACUCAGUCCCUCUGGAGUAGGGCCCAGGAACCUGCAUUCUCAAUGAACCCCGGUGAUCUGAUGCAGGUGGCCUGGACCACACUGGCUCAAACUCUGACUCAAGUCAUCCCUGCCCAGCAGCUGGGGAAGCAAAUCUAGAAGUAGUACUGGGAGACCUGGAUUCACAUUGUGACUCAGUUACUUAUAAGUGCUUAGAAGUUACAGGGCCUGAGGCAAAUCAUUUAGUAUUUCUGGGUCUUUUUCUGUUAAAUAAGGAGAAUGGAAAUGCUUUCUAAGGGUCUCUUCUAGCUCUGAAACACUGUCACUGUGAAAAGUGCUUUUGAGACUAAAUCUGAUAGCCCGAUAUAUUUUUGCUUCACAAACUUGCAAAGUUAAUGCCUUUGGUAUGCACACGCACAGCCCAGGUAUGAGAGGUAAUGUAAAGCUGGAUUUGGGAGUGGCAUCACAUUGUUAAUACCCUCUGGAUUUGGGAGCGGCAUCACAUUAUUAACACCUUCUGGAUUUGGGAGUGGUAUCAAAAACUGGUUAAUACCUUCUGGAUUUGGGAGUGGCAUCACAUUGGUAACACCUUCUGGAUUUGGGAGUGGCAUCACAUUGUUAACACCUUCUGGAUUUGGGAGUGGCAUCACAUUGUUAACACCUUCUGGAUUUGGGAGUGGCAUCACAUUGGUAACAUCUUCUGGAUUUGGGAGUGGUAUCACAUUGUUAAUACCUUCUGGAUUUGGGAGUGGCAUCACAUUGUUAAUACCUUCUGGAUUUGGGAGUGGCAUCACAUUGUUAACACCUUCUGGAUUUGGGAGUGGCAUCACAUUGGUAACAUCUUCUGGAUUUGGGAGUGGUAUCACAUUGUUAAUACCUUCUGGAGUGGAAUCAUACUCUGCCUUCAUCCCCCUUGUGGCCAAAGGCAUGCACCACCAUGACUGGGAGGUCCGAGGACUGUGCCCAGAAGAGUGUCAACAACCAGCCUAGGUGGCAGGGAGGCCCAAGCCCUUGGGCAUUCAGACCAAGUGGCAUGUCUUCAGGUGCGCUUGCUCCAGGUCAAGGUGACUCCUCCCCUGGAAGAGGCUCCUGAAAGAUCUUGCCCAUAAAAAGAACUUUUAUCAAAACCACCAGGACAUUGCUGCACUCUUUACUCUUUCUCCCUCGGGUUUGCCGUUUUCGGGGGAUGACACCACAAAGAAUGGGGAAAACCUCUCCCAUGCUUCAGCAUGAGCAGAACAGCACAAAGAGCUUUAUUUUUCUCUCCCCCAGAAGUAUAGCCCCUGUUCACUGUUCUCUGUGAAAUCACAGCUUGUUUGUUCAGUAAAUAAAGCAUCUGAAUUAAUAGGGGAUUUAAAGAAGCUAGAGGGGAAAGGCCUUGCCCUAAAAUAAGAUCUGUGGUUAGCGCCAGCCCUCAGUGAGAAGUUGAAUUGACAUUCUCAUUCCCUCUUUAAUUACUAAGGGAGGAGGGGCACCGGCGGCAGACGCGGAGGGGACUGUCAAUGAGGUUAGGAAGUGCCCUGGAGGACAAAGGGAGUCAGGAAAGACAAUGAAUGACAGCACAGAUACAGGGUUAGCAACUGCUGCAUGGCUCUUCCCUUAUUUUCUUCUAAGACAACCAAAUAAAUUAGACUACAAACCAGUGAAUCCUCUGAAAAAGAAAGUCAACAGAACUCUGCCUCAAUUUAGCACAUCCUUCCAGUAUGAAAGGAGCCAGGAACUAGUAAAUUAAGAGGGACCCCAGUUCAGAACAAAGUGUAUUCUCAGCCUUUCCCCAGCUCACCUCCAAUUUAAGGGUAUUUUUUCAAACUUAGGCCAGAGGCCCAAUUCAAACAAAUAAAACUGGGUUCUCUGCUAAGGAUAGAAGGCUCUCCUUUUUUCUUCAAGCUGCUCAUGAUCAGUCUUUACCCAAAGGGGAUGGAAGGAGCCAAUUUCCAUGCAGAGUUUGUAAGUCUAUGUGUAAUAGAAAAAUAAUACAAGUAAUAUUGACUGUAACAUAAAGAAAAA